GUAGGUGAACCUGCGGAAGGAUCAUUAUUGAAUAUUCUUGAUGGGUUGUAGCUGGCUCUCCGGGGCAUGUGCACACUUGUCUUGACUUUAUUCGUCCACCUGUGCACCUUUUGUAGUCUUGGGGGUUGAGAGCAGUCGACUAUCGGAUGGCUAUAUGGCCUUUUCGGACGUGAGGAAUGCUGAGUGCGAAAGCAUACAGCUCUUCUCAAAUGACUUGCAGAACCUCUCCCUCGAGUACUAUGUAUUCAUAUACCACAUAGUAUGUUGUAGAAUGUGAUCAAUGGGCCUACGUGCCUAUAAUAAUCAAAUACAACUUUCAGCAACGGAUCUCUUGGCUCUC
rnacentral:misc_RNA from 1 species